rnacentral:misc_RNA from 1 species
CAUUUUUUUUCUCGUCGUGUCGGUGCGUGCGUCUAACCCUGCCUCGCGCAGGCUGGUGGAAGUGUGUGUCUGUCCGGGCUGUGGCGCUGCUGGCCUCAUCGCCUCUCCCUCUUUCCGUGUGUCUUUACUCGAUUUCGGGUCGGGGCCUUCGUGCCCUUCCCGCCUUUUGCUGUGGUGUGUUUCUUGCGUUUUUUUUCUUUAGAUUGGUACAUCCGCCGCGUGCGCGGGUGCGCGCCGUUGCCCCCCCCCUUUUCGUUGUCGCGGCUUGUCGGCGUUUACAUGCUUGUUGGCGUCUCUGCAGUUGUCUCGUUGCCUCUUCCCUUGUCCUCUUCCGGCAGGACAUCCCUGUGUGCCUGUGUGGAUUGGUGGGUGUGCACGGCGCACGGCGCACUGCUGCUGUUUGCGCUCGCUCUCACAGGCUCGCGCCGCGCUCCUCCCCUGCCGCCCUCGGACCUUCUCAGCCCUCCCCACGGUGCGCGUUGUGGCGUCGCUGUGCGGUAGAAAAACGCGUCGAGAGGGAGAGGGGGAGAGAGAGCCUCCGAGGCGACAAGGGCACGUCACACGAGCGUCCGUGCAGGGGCGCAGCGGUCCGCGUCGUCGCCCCGUGCGGGCUUUCGCUCACCUUGCUUCGUUCGGGCUCCUGCUGACCUGCGAUGGGUAACGAGACGUCCAAGUCCAGCGGCACGGCGUCGGCGAGCAACCCACUUCGCCGGAACUCGCAGUCGGAGGCGGCAGUGGGCUUCGGCGGUGCUCCCGCGGCGACAGAAAAGGCGGGAUCGCCAAAUGCUGCGAGCACCGCUGCAUCGGUCCCCAGCCGUCCCAUAGCGCUGUCGGCCGAGACGCCAUCACUGAGAUCGGCGAGUGGGGCCACGGACACCGUCGGCUCGUCAGUGCCGCGCUACGUGGAUGCAAAGAGCAUGGUGUACACCCUUCCCUGCUUUACCCCGGAUAGGUCGCUGAGCAGCCCGACGAGCGGCGGCGCUGGUCCACGGAGCCAACCGAUCGCAAUACAGAUGGCUGCCUCACAGCAGCUGCCGAUGAUGUCCUCCAGCAGUGACUUCCGCGUGGGUGCGCCAUCCUCGCCUCUCUCCCCAUCCCGCCGGCACUUCUCCGCUGCGAAUUUGUCGAACACGAUGGAGAUUCCGACGUACAACACAAGCACCCCCACCGCCGUGGAGGACCUUUCCUGCAGCUCACCCGUGCUCAAAUCGUACCGGCAGCACUCCUUCUCCCAUUCGAAGCGGGAUGCGUGUCUGGCCGACUCCCCCAACUCCCCAGACAUGAGCGUCCACGGCGGCGCAUCCCUCAGCGCCGGCGCCUCGGAGGCUCCGGUGGCGAUGAGCCUGGCCACCUCGUUCUCACCUGGGGCUGGCAGCGGCUCGCCCAGCACAGCGAUCCACACAAAGUUCCUCGAGAUAACCGGGCACCCGCUGGGCUUGGAGAACUACGGCAACACUUGCUACUGCAACUCCGUCAUCCAGCUGAUCUACCACUGCGCCCCACUGCGGCUGCGGCUGCUCGAGCUGUACCACGUCUACCUCACCAAGAAGGGUAAGUCUGGCUUCGAGGAGGACACGGUGCUCUUCCAGCUCUGCAGCCUCAUCGCCGUUAUGCACAAGUCGAACAACCGCACCAAGGACAAGUACCCGCGCGAGAAGAUCGCCCCAAAAGAACUGCUGAACUGCGUGCGCGCCAAGAACGAGGUCUUCAACAACGACAUGCAGCAGGACGCACACGAGUUCACCAUGUUUCUGCUGAAUGAUAUCUGGGACACGGAGCAGCGCAUCAUGGCCGACCCCGCCAACGUAAACCUCUUUCUCAAGCACGAGACAUCCAUGAAGAAGAAGGGGUCGUUGUCCUUCUCCUGGAAGCACAGCAAGGAUAAGCACAUCAGCAGCCACAGCCACAAGGAAAACAAGCUCGACAAGACAACCUCGGCAGCGGCCACCAACAGCGACGCCGGCGCGAACGGGGGCAAGGCGGUGGAUGCACAGCAGCCCUUCAGCGGGGAGCUCACCCCUCUCCAGGUAAUCCUGCAAGGCCAGUUCGGCUCCCUCACCGCCUGCCUCGAGUGCGAGAACGUGACCGCCCGAGAAGAGGUCUUCAUGGACCUCAGCCUCGAGACGGCACAGGGCACGUCCCUCCUCCGCUGCCUCGACCACUUCGGUGACCCCGAGUACUUCUGGGGGAAGAACAAGCUGCGCUGCGAGGAGUGCAAGAUGCCGGUGCGCGCCGCCAAGACGAUCCACGUGCAGCAGCUGCCGCAGUACGCGCUCCUUAUCCACCUGAAGCGCUUCCAGUACGACGUGAAGAAGCAGAUCUUCACAAAGAAGGCGGACCACGUCGCACUGCCGAUGCAGAUGGACGUGGAGGAGUACCUGACGGACCCAGAGGUGAUCGAGCAGAGCCUGCGCAACAAGCUGGCGCGCUCGCAGAAGAACAGCGGCGUUGACGCGGUCAGCAGCACCAGCGGGCACAACAACAGCGGCAGCGGACAGAAAGACGAAGCGAACGCGACUUCGUCGACCGACACAUUCAAGCCGGCGUCGGAGGAGGUACGCCGCAAGCUUCGUGGCGUCGCCCGCCACAAGGCGCGCUUCGAGCUGACAGGUUUUGUCGCCCACAUUGGCGAGGGACCAAACUCAGGGCACUACUUCACGUGUGUCCGCUACGGUCCUCAGCUGUGGCGCCGCUUCGACGACGAGACUGUGUCGACGAUGGCGGAGCGAGAUGUGAAGCAGUACUUUGGCGUUCCAUCCGACGCUGUCGGCGUGGUCACGACGACGGCCUACAUACUGCUCUACGAGCGCGUUGCGUAGAGUCGCGUGCGCGCUGAUGGACAGCCUGCAGACGAGCUCGAUGCGCGGGUGUGUAUGCGGGUCUGUGGCUGUGCAGAGUCGAUGUACGUAGAUGAUGACAGUGGAGCUGGAAGGCGUGCUGCCGGGCAUGAAGCUCGCAAAACAAGGCAAGGCAGGAUCGUGCAGUUCACGAUUCAAGUGAGCGGCAAAGGGAGAGAACGUCAGGCGUGCGUCGCUGGCUGUGGCCCUUGCAUGUCCUCGUUGUGUUUCUCAAGUGGUGUGUGUCGCCUUUUCUUUCUGUGUGGUCGCCCUCCUCGCCCUCUCCAUUGCGGAUGACCACGGCUGCCUUUUUUACGUGUGCUGCUGCGUGGCUCGGUCCGUGUGCAGGGAUGAGUGCUCCAGCACGUUUCUCUCUCGCUCCCUGGUGUCGCCGUCCUCGACUGCUUUCCUCUUCUACUUCGGCCUUGCCUCCCCUCCCUCCUCUCUCUCUGCGCGUUUACGGGUGACUGUGUCCGUAGGGAGGAGGAAGGGGGGCACGUGUGCGCCCACCUCAUGCUACGAUAUGAGGUGCGCCUACGAGCGGUGAAUGAGGCCACAUCCCCGUCUCUCGUCUUUUCCUCUCCCGCUGCUGGCACGUGUGAGAUCAGCCCCCACCCCCUCCGCUACGAAGAGAAGGCGUUUGCCUUGCCAGGGGGUGGUGCCCAGAGAGCGGGUUUGUGGCCCCUCCGAUGUGGGCAGGGCCACGCGUGCGUCGGCGCCGUCCUCCCCUGUGCUCCUCACGGGGCUCUUUUAUGUUCCUCUGUCGCACACCUCAGCCGAGAAGUCCGAUGGGCGCUUGUCUGCUCUGCUCUCCUCCCCCUCCCCACCGCGCUGCUUCGCACGGCACAAGUGCUUUGCCCUCUUGUGGGCGGCCUCCGCCAUGCGUGUCGGGUCGGCUUCCGGCCGCGGCGUUCGGGUAUGCAAACACAGACAUGUGUAUGUGUGCGCGGUAGCUCUCUUCCACCCCCUCCCUCCUAUGCUGGGGAGGAUGCCACCUGCUUUCAUGGCCUUGUCUGCCCGUUCAAGGCAGUCCCACCCUGACCAGCCUCCAUCACGUCCGCCACCGGGUGCGAUACGGCGGAUGAGAGGAGGGGGUGGGCCCUGCGCCGUCACCGACUUCGUCAAACAGAUAAGCAGCGAUUCCGCAAAGGCGGCGCGCAGCGGUCCGCUUCCUCCCUCCGCCCCUACCGGGCGACGCCCACAACAGGCCAGAGAACGGGGGGGAGGGGACGGGUCGAGACCCGGCACCGCCCCAACUCACUCUAAACUGCCUUCUUCUCUUCCUUCCCACUGACUCUCUCUCUCUCUCUCUGAUCUCACAUCAG